rnacentral:rRNA from 1 species
GACGAACGCUGGCGGCGUGCUUAACACAUGCAAGUCGAACGAUGAAGAAAAGAAUUGAAGCUUCGGCAGAAAUUCAUUUCGGAUUAGUGGCAGACGGGUGAGUAACGCGUGAGCAACCUACCUCUUACAAAGGGAUAGCCUCGGGAAACCGGGAUUAAUACCAUAUAACAUUGCGACGAAGCAUUUCGAUGCAAUCAAAGCUACAGCGGUAAGAGAUGGGCUCGCGUCCCAUUAACCAGAUGGUGAGGUAACGGCUCACCAUAGUAACGAUGGGUAACCGGCCUGAGAGGGUGAACGGUCACACUGGAACUGAGACACGGUCCAGACUCCUACGGGAGGCAGCAGUGGGGAAUAUUGCACAAUGGAGGGAACUCUGAUGCAGCGACGCCGCGUGAGUGAUGAAGGAAUUCGUUUCGUAAAACUCUGUUCUAUGGGAAGAAAAGGACUGUACCAUAGGAGAAAGCUCCGGCUAAAUACGUG